UGGGGAAUUUUGGACAAUGGGCGAAANCCUGAUCCAGCAAUGCCGCGUGUGUGAAGAAGGCCUUCGGGUUGUAAAGCACUUUUGUCCGGAAAGAAAUCCUUGGCUCUAAUACAGUCGGGGGAUGACGGUACCGGAAGAAUAAGCACCGGCUAACUACGUGCCAGCAGCCGCGGUAAUACGUAGGGUGCAAGCGUUAAUCGGAAUUACUGGGCGUAAAGCGUGCGCAGGCGGUUUGCUAAGACCGAUGUGAAAUCCCCGGGCUCAACCUGGGAACUGCAUUGGUGACUGGCAGGCUAGAGUAUGGCAGAGGGGGGUAGAAUUCCACGUGUAGCAGUGAAAUGCGUAGAGAUGUGGAGGAAUACCGAUGGCGAAGGCAGCCCCCUGGGCCAAAUACUGACGCUCAUGCACGAAAGCGUGGGGAGCAAACAGGAUUAGAUACCCUGGUAGUCCACGCCCUAAACGAUGUCAACUAGUUGUGGGGAUUCAUUUCCUUAGUAACGUAGCUAACGCGUGAAGUUGACCGCCUGGGGAGUACGGUCGCAAGAUUAAAACUCAAAUGAAUUGACGGGGUCAUAGCUGUUUCCU
rnacentral:rRNA from 1 species